rnacentral:lncRNA from 1 species
AAGCACGACGCUCCCAAGGCUGGAGGGCAGACAUAGCCGCCACCCAGAAGGAAAGCACAGGUCAGCAGCGGACUAAAGCCACAACCCCAGCCAGGGAACCCUUCCAAAACACAGAGGAGCCAUAUGAGAAUAUCAGGAAUGAAGGACAAAAUACAGAUCCCAAGCUAAAUCCCAAGGAUGACGGCAUCGUCUAUGCUUCCCUUGCCCUCUCCAGCUCCACCUCACCCAGAGCACCUCCCAGCCACCGUCCCCUCAAGAGCCCCCAGAACGAGACCCUGUACUCUGUCUUAAAGGCCUAACCAAUGGACAGCCCUCUCAAGACUGAAUGGUGAGGCCAGGUACAGUGGCGCACACCUGUAAUCCCAGCUACUCUGAAGCCUGAGGCAGAAUCAAGUGAGCCCAGGAGUUCAGGGCCAGCUU